AAUCAACGCUGGCGGCGUGCCUCAGACAUGCAAGUCGAACGAUUAAAGCUCUCUUCGGAGAGUGUAUAGAGUGGCGCACGGGUGAGUAACACGUAAGUAAUCUACCUUCGAGUGGGGAAUAACGCCGGAAACGGACGCUAAUACCGCAUAAUGCAGCGGCAUCGCAAGAUGACAGUUGUUAAAGAUUUAUCGCUUGAAGAGGAGCUUGCGGCAGAUUAGCUAGUUGGUAAGGUAAUGGCUUACCAAGGCUACGAUCUGUAACCGGUCUAAGAGGACGGUCGGUCACACUGACACUGAAUAACGGGUCAGACUCCUACGGGAGGCAGCAGUCGGGAAUUUUGGGCAAUGGGCGAAAGCCUGACCCAGCAACGCCGCGUGAAGGAUGAAGUAUUCGGUAUGUAAACUUCGAAAGAAUAGGAAGAAAUAAAUGACGGUACUAUUUAUAAGGUCCGGCUAACUACGUGCCAGCAGCCGCCGCCGUAAC
rnacentral:rRNA from 1 species